GUGAGACCAAGAACCCACCAAUUCCGGACACAUAACCAUGCCUAGGAAGGAAAGGAGUUGCUGUUUUGUAGAAGCGAUUGGGAUUUGGGAGAUUAGCUGGAUAUGAUCAGCAGGGAGAGCACGUGUGUUUUCAUGAGAAUUAUGCCAAGCUUCCCUUUGUGGCUAGAGUGAAGUAUACUGGUAUAAAGUGCUCUAAAAAUACAGAAACUGAGAGAAGAAGAAAUAUGAAAAAGAAAUGGAGAAAUGUGAGAGAGAAAACCAUUUACUGUGCGACAUUAGACUUCCUCGUGAUGAAGGAGGAGGAGAACAUUGGAUCUGAUAGGUGAUUCAAGUCUAAAAAUUGACUGAACUAAAAUUUAAAAGCCAAAAAAGGUGAAAGGUGAUGGAAUCUGUCUCAAGUAUGAAGAGUUCCUGUAACUUCAUAAGGAUGAAAGAUUUAACAGAGUACACUUAAGAGCAACAAGACAACUGUAAUCUUUUCACAUUUAUACCGCAGUGGACUGAGAUUCAACAAUCUGGUAAUGUUGUUCUCCUCCUACUCUUUUCCUUCUCCACCUGUGUCUGCUUUUUCUUCUCCUUAUUAUUAUUAUGUUGUUAUUCAUUAGUUACCAAAACCUGAAAUAUUUCUCAGGGUUCUUCAAGUGUAAUGCAAAUCUGGCUAUAAAUUGAGAUUUUCUACUCACCCUUUCAAUUCUUGAAAACACUAACUUAUAAACUUCCAAAACAUACAGGAGAUCCCUAAAUAGUAAACAUGGAGAAAUAACAUAGGUGUAAUGAUUUUAUUAAAUUAUAAUAACUAGAAACAAA
rnacentral:lncRNA from 1 species